rnacentral:misc_RNA from 1 species
AAAUGCGAUAAGUAAUGUGAAUUGCAGAAUUCAGUGAAUCAUCGAAUCUUUGAACGCACAUUGCGCCUAUUAGUAUUCUAGUAGGCAUGCCUGUUCGAGCGUCAUUUGUACCCUCAAGCUCUGCUUGGUGUUGGGUGUUUGUCCCGUCUCCGCGCGUGGACUCGCCCCAAAGUGAUUGGCAGCCGGCGUACUGGUCCCGGAGCGCAGCACAUGUCGCGCAAACGAGUGCCUUGGUACGGCGGCGUCCAUAAGCCCCUCUCUCACGCUCUUGACCUCGGAUCAGGUAGGGAUACCCGCUGAACUUAAGC